UUUUAAAAUGUUUGCCAUGUUUAUGCUUGUGCUUCAAGUACUUCUACUCUUCAGUGCGUUGCAAGUGAGCUGCAGCCGGGUAUUGCCGAAUGAAGAUACAGCAGGUAAUAAUUUAAUUGUCACAGCUUAUGGUUUUUAAUGCUCCACCACCUUUUAUUCCAGGUGCUCCAUUCCAUCUGCCUCCUUUCGUUCCAAGACCUCCAUUCCAGCUGCCGCCUUUCAAUCCAAGACCCUUGCCACCUUUCAAUCCAAGACCACCAUUCCACUUGCCACCUUUCAAUCCAAGGCCCCUUCCACCUUUCUUCCGUCCGCCACCUUUCUCUCCACCUCAAAAGGAUUAAAAGGAUUAAAUUUAUCAUCGAGUUCUAUGUUGGGAGUUUGCUACAAGCUCUUUUAAUUUGAUCAAAGCUUUUUGCCUUGUUUCUAUGUCGUAGGUAAUUACUUAGAAAAAGUCUCGAGUUCGAUUCUGGUGUAGCCAA
rnacentral:lncRNA from 1 species